AGAGUUUGAUCCUGGCUCAGGAUGAACGCUGGCGGCGUGCCUAACACAUGCAAGUCGAGCGAUCUCUUCGGAGAGAGCGGCGGACGGGUGAGUAACGCGUGGGUAAUCUGCCCUGUACACACGGAUAACAUACCGAAAGGUAUGCUAAUACGGGAUAACAUACGAAAUUCGCAUGUUUUUCGUAUCAAAGCUCCGGCGGUACAGGAUGGACCCGCGUCUGAUUAGCUAGUUGGUGAGGUAACGGCUCACCAAGGCGACGAUCAGUAGCCGACCUGAGAGGGUGAUCGGCCACAUUGGAACUGAGACACGGUCCAAACUCCUACGGGAGGCAGCAGUGGGGAAUAUUGCACAAUGGGCGAAAGCCUGAUGCAGCAACGCCGCGUGAGCGAUGAAGGCCUUCGGGUCGUAAAGCUCUGUCCUCAAGGAAGAUAAUGACGGUACUUGAGGAGGAAGCCCCGGCUAACUACGUGCCAGCAGCCGCGGUAAUACGUAGGGGGCUAGCGUUAUCCGGAUUUACUGGGCGUAAAGGGUGCGUAGGCGGUCUUUUAAGUCAGGAGUGAAAGGCUACGGCUCAACCGUAGUAAGCUCUUGAAACUGGAGGACUUGAGUGCAGGAGAGGAGAGUGGAAUUCCUAGUGUAGCGGUGAAAUGCGUAGAUAUUAGGAGGAACACCAGUAGCGAAGGCGGCUCUCUGGACUGUAACUGACGCUGAGGCACGAAAGCGUGGGGAGCAAACAGGAUUAGAUACCCUGGUAGUCCACGCCGUAAACGAUGAGUACUAGGUGUAGGGGGUUGCCCCCUUUGGGGAGGCAGGUAACGCAUUAAGUCCUUCGCCUGGGGAGGACGCUCGCCAGAGUGAAAAUCAAAGGAAAUGACGGGGAGCCGCCCCAGUAGCGGAGCAUGUGGUUUAAUUUGAAGCAACGGGAAGAACCUUACCUAAGUUUGACAUCAUUUUGGCUGACGCCUAAUAGCAGUUGUUCCUUCGGGGCCAAAGAGACAGGUGGUGCAUGGUUGUCGUCAGCUCGUGUCGUGAGAUGUUGGGUUAAGUCCCGCAACGAGCGCAACCCUUAUUACUAGUUGCCAUCAUUUAGUUGGGCACUCUAGUGAGACUGCCGGUGACAAACCGGAGGAAGGUGGGGAUGACGUCAAAUCAUCAUGCCCCUUAUGACCUGGGCUACACACGUGCUACAAUGGAUGGUACAACGAGUUGCGAGCCCGCGAGGGUGAGCUAAUCUCUUAAAACCAUUCUCAGUUCGGAUUGCAGGCUGCAACUCGCCUACAUGAAGCCGGAAUCGCUAGUAAUCGCGGAUCAGCACGCCGCGGUGAAUACGUUCCCGGGCCUUGCACUCACCGCCCGUCA
rnacentral:rRNA from 1 species